rnacentral:misc_RNA from 1 species
GAUGAAGAACGUAGUGAAAUGCGAUAAGUAAUGUGAAUUGCAGAAUUCAGUGAAUCAUCGAGUCUUUGAACGCACAUUGCGCCCCCUGGUAUUCCGGGGGGCAUGCCUGUCCGAGCAUCAUUGCCGCCCUCAAGCACGGCUUGUGUGUUGGGCCCCCGCCCCCCGGCUUCGGGGGGCGGGCCCGAAAGGCAGCGGCGGCACCGCGUCCGGUCCUCGAGCGUAUGGGGCUUCGUCACCCGCUCUGUAGGCCCGGCCGGCGCCCGCCGGCGACCCCAAUCAAUCUUUCCAGGUUGACCUCGGAUCAGGUAGGAAUACCCGCUGAACUUAAGCAUAUCAAUAAGCGGAGGA